UACAGAGGUCUCAAGCGUUGUUCGGAUUCAUUGGGCGUAAAGGGUGUGUAGGUGGCGCCGUAAGUCGGGUGUGAAAUUUCGGAGCUUAACUCCGAAACUGCAUUCGAUACUGCGGUGCUUGAGGACUGGAGAGGAGAUUGGAAUUCAUGGUGUAGCAGUGAAAUGCGUAGAGAUCAUGAGGAAGACCAGUGGCGAAGGCGGGUCCCUGGACAGUUCCUGACACUGAGACACGAAGGCCAGGGGAGCAAACGGG
rnacentral:rRNA from 1 species